rnacentral:rRNA from 2 species
AGCGUACACGGUGGAUGCCCUGGCAGUCAGAGGCGAUGAAGGACGUGCUAAUCUGCGAUAAGCGUCGGUAAGGUGAUAUGAACCGUUAUAACCGGCGAUUUCCGAAUGGGGAAACCCAGUGUGUUUCGACACACUAUCAUUAACUGAAUCCAUAGGUUAAUGAGGCGAACCGGGGGAACUGAAACAUCUAAGUACCCCGAGGAAAAGAAAUCAACCGAGAUUCCCCCAGUAGCGGCGAGCGAACGGGGAGCAGCCCAGAGCCUGAAUCAGUGUGUGUGUUAGUGGAAGCGUCUGGAAAGGCGCGCGAUACAGGGUGACAGCCCCGUACACAAAAAUGCACAUGCUGUGAGCUCGAUGAGUAGGGCGGGACACGUGGUAUCCUGUCUGAAUAUGGGGGGACCAUCCUCCAAGGCUAAAUACUCCUGACUGACCGAUAGUGAACCAGUACCGUGAGGGAAAGGCGAAAAGAACCCCGGCGAGGGGAGUGAAAAAGAACCUGAAACCGUGUACGUACAAGCAGUGGGAGCACGCUUAGGCGUGUGACUGCGUACCUUUUGUAUAAUGGGUCAGCGACUUAUAUUCUGUAGCAAGGUUAACCGAAUAGGGGAGCCGAAGGGAAACCGAGUCUUAACUGGGCGUUAAGUUGCAGGGUAUAGACCCGAAACCCGGUGAUCUAGCCAUGGGCAGGUUGAAGGUUGGGUAACACUAACUGGAGGACCGAACCGACUAAUGUUGAAAAAUUAGCGGAUGACUUGUGGCUGGGGGUGAAAGGCCAAUCAAACCGGGAGAUAGCUGGUUCUCCCCGAAAGCUAUUUAGGUAGCGCCUCGUGAAUUCAUCUCCGGGGGUAGAGCACUGUUUCGGCAAGGGGGUCAUCCCGACUUACCAACCCGAUGCAAACUGCGAAUACCGGAGAAUGUUAUCACGGGAGACACACGGCGGGUGCUAACGUCCGUCGUGAAGAGGGAAACAACCCAGACCGCCAGCUAAGGUCCCAAAGUCAUGGUUAAGUGGGAAACGAUGUGGGAAGGCCCAGACAGCCAGGAUGUUGGCUUAGAAGCAGCCAUCAUUUAAAGAAAGCGUAAUAGCUCACUGGUCGAGUCGGCCUGCGCGGAAGAUGUAACGGGGCUAAACCAUGCACCGAAGCUGCGGCAGCGACGCUGAUGCGUUGUUGGGUAGGGGAGCGUUCUGUAAGCCUGCGAAGGUGUGCUGUGAGGCAUGCUGGAGGUAUCAGAAGUGCGAAUGCUGACAUAAGUAACGAUAAAGCGGGUGAAAAGCCCGCUCGCCGGAAGACCAAGGGUUCCUGUCCAACGUUAAUCGGGGCAGGGUGAGUCGACCCCUAAGGCGAGGCCGAAAGGCGUAGUCGAUGGGAAACAGGUUAAUAUUCCUGUACUUGGUGUUACUGCGAAGGGGGGACGGAGAAGGCUAUGUUGGCCGGGCGACGGUUGUCCCGGUUUAAGCGUGUAGGCUGGUUUUCCAGGCAAAUCCGGAAAAUCAAGGCUGAGGCGUGAUGACGAGGCACUACGGUGCUGAAGCAACAAAUGCCCUGCUUCCAGGAAAAGCCUCUAAGCAUCAGGUAACAUCAAAUCGUACCCCAAACCGACACAGGUGGUCAGGUAGAGAAUACCAAGGCGCUUGAGAGAACUCGGGUGAAGGAACUAGGCAAAAUGGUGCCGUAACUUCGGGAGAAGGCACGCUGAUAUGUAGGUGAAGCGACUUGCUCGUGGAGCUGAAAUCAGUCGAAGAUACCAGCUGGCUGCAACUGUUUAUUAAAAACACAGCACUGUGCAAACACGAAAGUGGACGUAUACGGUGUGACGCCUGCCCGGUGCCGGAAGGUUAAUUGAUGGGGUUAGCGCAAGCGAAGCUCUUGAUCGAAGCCCCGGUAAACGGCGGCCGUAACUAUAACGGUCCUAAGGUAGCGAAAUUCCUUGUCGGGUAAGUUCCGACCUGCACGAAUGGCGUAAUGAUGGCCAGGCUGUCUCCACCCGAGACUCAGUGAAAUUGAACUCGCUGUGAAGAUGCAGUGUACCCGCGGCAAGACGGAAAGACCCCGUGAACCUUUACUAUAGCUUGACACUGAACAUUGAGCCUUGAUGUGUAGGAUAGGUGGGAGGCUUUGAAGUGUGGACGCCAGUCUGCAUGGAGCCGACCUUGAAAUACCACCCUUUAAUGUUUGAUGUUCUAACGUUGACCCGUAAUCCGGGUUGCGGACAGUGUCUGGUGGGUAGUUUGACUGGGGCGGUCUCCUCCUAAAGAGUAACGGAGGAGCACGAAGGUUGGCUAAUCCUGGUCGGACAUCAGGAGGUUAGUGCAAUGGCAUAAGCCAGCUUGACUGCGAGCGUGACGGCGCGAGCAGGUGCGAAAGCAGGUCAUAGUGAUCCGGUGGUUCUGAAUGGAAGGGCCAUCGCUCAACGGAUAAAAGGUACUCCGGGGAUAACAGGCUGAUACCGCCCAAGAGUUCAUAUCGACGGCGGUGUUUGGCACCUCGAUGUCGGCUCAUCACAUCCUGGGGCUGAAGUAGGUCCCAAGGGUAUGGCUGUUCGCCAUUUAAAGUGGUACGCGAGCUGGGUUUAGAACGUCGUGAGACAGUUCGGUCCCUAUCUGCCGUGGGCGCUGGAGAACUGAGGGGGGCUGCUCCUAGUACGAGAGGACCGGAGUGGACGCAUCACUGGUGUUCGGGUUGUCAUGCCAAUGGCACUGCCCGGUAGCUAAAUGCGGAAGAGAUAAGUGCUGAAAGCAUCUAAGCACGAAACUUGCCCCGAGAUGAGUUCU